CCCAUUUGUUAUUUUUGAUUGGAGUUUAUUAUUUAUUUUUAUUAAGCAUGCUUAUUAACACCAAGAGCACUUGACUCAGUGGUAAGGGGGUUGACUCAUGACCCUAAGGUCAGGGGUUCAACCCCCAACGCCCCCAUUGUUCUUUUUCCUUAUUUUACCUUUUAUUUCUUAUUUUCAUUUUAUUUUAUUUAUUUUUCUUUCCAUUUUAAUUCUUGUUAUUUUCUCAUUUAUUUCUUUUAAACCCAAUAUGUUUGUAAAUACACUUCAUCAAAAUAUUGUGUUUUAUUUUAUCCAUUAUUU
rnacentral:lncRNA from 1 species